UACGUAGGGUGCAAGCGUUAAUCGGAAUUACUGGGCGUAAAGCGUGCGCAGGCGGUUAUGUAAGACAGAUGUGAAAUGCCCGGGCUUAACCUGGGAACUGCAUUUGUGACUGCAUGGCUAGAGUUUGGCAGAGGGGGGUAGAAUUCCACGUGUAGCAGUGAAAUGCGUAGAUAUGUGGAGGAACACCGAUGGCGAAGGCAGCCCCCUGGGUCAAGACUGACGCUCAUGCACGAAAGCGUGGGGAGCGAACAGGAUUAGAAACC
rnacentral:rRNA from 1 species